UACGUAGGAGACAAACGUUAUCCGGAGUUACUGGGCGUAAAGGGCGUGUAGGUGGUUCAGUAAGUCUGGCGUGAAAUUUUUCGGCUUAACCGGGAAAGGUCGUUGGAUACUGCAAGUCUAGAGGACGGUAGAGGCGUGUGGAAUUCCGGGUGUAGUGGUGAAAUGCGUAGAGAUCCGGAGGAACACCAGUGGCGAAGGCGACACGCUGGGCCGUACCUGACACUGAUGCGCGACAGCAUGGGGAGCAAACAGG
rnacentral:rRNA from 1 species